rfam:Myotis lucifugus cont2.2044, whole genome shotgun sequence.
GAGACACCCUUAUGGGGCAGGACUUGCUUCAGUGGGGUUUUGGUGCUCACUGAGUCUGCCCCCUUGAGUGUGUCUUU